UACGUAGGGUGCAAGCGUUGUUCGGAAUUACUGGGCGUAAAGGGCGCGUAGGCGGCCCGCUAAGUCGAACGUGAAAUCCCCGGGCUCAACCCGGGAACUGCGUCCGAUACUGGCAGGCUUGAAUCCGGGAGAGGGAUGCGGAAUUCCAGGUGUAGCGGUGAAAUGCGUAGAUAUCUGGAGGAACACCGGUGGCGAAGGCGGCAUCCUGGACCGACACUGACGCUGAGGAGCGAAAGCCAGGGGAGCAAACGGG
rnacentral:rRNA from 1 species